UGGAAGACUGAUGAUUUGCUGAACGCAUGCAGCCAGCGGGUCUUCUUUCUUCUCAU
rnacentral:pre_miRNA from 1 species